UUACGCCUCGUAGCCAUACUACGCUGGGAUGCUGACGAGCGGCGGACGGUGGAGUAAUGGCAUAUAGGAAUUCUGCCCGAUAGUGGGGAUAACCUGGGAAACCCAGGCUAAUACCGCAUACCGUCCUACGGGAGAAAGGGGGCUUCGGCUCCCGCUAUCGGAUGAGCCUAUGUCGGAUUAGCUAGUUGGUGAGGUAAAGGCUCACCAAGGCAACGAUCCGUAGCUGGUCUGAGAGGAUGAUCAGCCACAUCGGGACUGAGACACGGCCCGAACUCCUACGGGAGGCAGCAGUGGGAAUAUUGGACAAUGGGGGCAACCCUGAUCCAGCCAUGCCGCGUGUGUGAAGAAGGCCCUCGGGUUGUAAAGCACUUUCAGCGAGGAAGAACGCCUAGCGGUUAAUACCCGCUAGGAAAGACAUCACUCGCAGAAGAAGCACCGGCUAACUCCGUGCCAGCAGCCGCGGUAAUACGGAGGGUGCAAGCGUUAAUCGGAAUUACUGGGCGUAAAGCGCGCGUAGGUGGCUUGAUAAGCCGGUUGUGAAAGCCCCGGGCUCAACCUGGGAACGGCAUCCGGAAUGUCAAGCUAGAGUGCAGGAGAGGAAGGUAGAAUUCCCGGUGUAGCGGUGAAAUGCGUAGAGAUCGGGAGGAAUACCAGUGGCGAAGGCGGCCUUCUGGACUGACACUGACACUGAGGUGCGAAAGCGUGGGUAGCAAACAGGAUUAGAUACCCUGGUAGUCCACGCCGUAAACGAUGUCGACCAGCCGUUGGGUGCCUAGCGCACUUUGUGGCGAAGUUAACGCGAUAAGUCGACCGCCUGGGGAGUACGGCCGCAAGGUUAAAACUCAAAUGAAUUGACGGGGGCCCGCACAAGCGGUGGAGCAUGUGGUUUAAUUCGAUGCAACGCGAAGAACCUUACCUACUCUUGACAUCCUGCGAAUUCGGUAGAGAUACCUUAGUGCCUUCGGGAACGCAGAGACAGGUGCUGCAUGGCUGUCGUCAGCUCGUGUUGUGAAAUGUUGGGUUAAGUCCCGUAACGAGCGCAACCCUUGUCCUUAUUUGCCAGCGCGUAAUGGCGGGAACUCUAAGGAGACUGCCGGUGACAAACCGGAGGAAGGUGGGGACGACGUCAAGUCAUCAUGGCCCUUACGAGUAGGGCUAACCCACCGUGCCUACAAAGUCGGUAACAAA
rnacentral:rRNA from 1 species